UUAUAUAUAUAAGGUGUAAAAGAAGUAAGUCUUCAGUUUGUAACGAAACAUCUGUUGUGAAGUUUUGCAUCGAACAAAAUCUAAAUUUCGAAAAAUGACUAAAGUAGUUAUCUUCGUAUUUCUGAUGGUAAUGGUAGUUGCUGUCUUGUCUCUUCCUGCUGAAGUUCCAGAGAACGAGAUCCCUCAGGAUGAUGGUUCAGUUCAACCCCGAUUGACUUGCCAACUCGGAGGCAACGCUCUCUGCACCACACACUGCUUGAUGCUAGGCUACAAGCGCGGCGUCUGUGCUAGAGACAAAGUCUGUCGCUGCUAUAGGAGUUAAAUUUUAAAAUUAUAUCUUCAUCAUUAUCAUCAUUUAUAUUAUUAUAAGGACCUUAUUCACCACUUGUUGCUAAGUUAUCUGGUUGUCAAACUGAUGAGAGUUUGAUAGCUGUACGGUUCCGAGUACUAAUAUGCAUACACUUUGAAACCAUGUCACAUUAACUUUUUUGACAAAUUAAAUGUCAAAUAUGAUAGUGCGAGAGGGUUCUAAAGUGGGUACAUGAUAUUGCUCAUGACUGUACUACUAUUUCCCAGAUAAGUUAUUAUCAAGUAAUAUAGUAUGUAGUAAUAUAGUAUGUAGUAUUCUAAUAUUAAUAUUUCAUUCAUGUUAUUGUCUUUUACAUAAUCUGUAUUUUUCAUUAUAAUUAUUAUUUCGUUGUAUUGUAAUUAGUUUAAGUGUACCAAACGCUCAAUAAAAACAUAUUUUAUUAAUAUAAACUAUUUUGUAAUUAGUAUUAUGCCUGUUUCGUUUAAAUUAUAUCUACGGUAAUGUUACCGGACUCUUUGCUUUUAUUGUAGAGAUUAAUAAAUCUUAUUUUUCUGUGA